CAGUUAUCGGUAAAGGAGAAAAAAUCUAAACCUCCACUGAAAGUAAUUCAUCUAAAUUCAAAGAGGAAUCCGUUCUUGUUAAGCCUUGGAGCCUUGCCGUUAACUUAAAAAACACAUACCAUCUGAGCAUCUAUCACUCUGUAGGCUUCCAGGCUAUGGCCGCUGUCGGCUGUCGCCGUGGCGUCUCGUGGAUUUUUCUUGCAUCAAUGAGUAUGCACAAAAUAACCUGGGAUUGCAGAAGUGAAUAUUAUUUUACUUUUAUGCAUUACAGGCGGCAAAGCCAUGUUAACACAAGUCACAAGUUACAGGAGUUAGAGUAAUUAUAAACAAAAAGAAUUGUUUACCAAACAAAUCUGGAAGUUGAUCUAGGGUGCACGUUUGAAUAAACUCUGAGUUGACUUCCGGAUUUGUUUGCGACGUACGAAUGCAUCUACUUAUUUAGCGUCAGAAUUUUCUCGAAAUAAUAAGUUCUCUUCGCAUGUUAUUUGCCGCUUUCGGUGUUGAUGAAGCCCAAAUAUCUAUUUUUUUUCGACUGUCUGGGUUUCGUCCACAUUGAAAGCGUUGGAUUCCCAAUUAUAUUUUUCUAUAAAUUCUUGACAGUUUUAUACUGUACCGAGUUCUUACUAUGAUUCUCUUCUACUUUAUAAUGGCAUCAUUCUUUCUUUCGGUCACUGAAGCCCAAUCAAUCAGUAAUUCAUUCUUAAAAGACUGUUGCACUUAAAAGAAGCAUUUGUUUCUUGGAUUUAAGGUCAAACCUUUUUGCUACUUUUUAUUACUUCAUAAAGUAAGGAGAACAAUUUAGAUUGAAGUUUAGUUUUCUUGUGUGCAUUUGUUUUGUUGACUUUUUAAAGAAUUUUAUGGGUUGGCCAUUCCUGUAUCCUAUUGCAAACUCUUUCAGAUUUGAAUCGAAAGCCCACCGAUAUGUCAACUGCAAACGUAUCGUCGAAGACAUCGUUUAACAUAACGAGUAUUUUGGCAAUUGGUAUAAAGUGAGUUUUAAUCCAUAACUAUUUGGUAUUUAUUUUGAUAUUUGUUGUUGCAGGCCCAUCCCCAACAACGUCAACCUGCAGAAGGAAAAGCCAGUUUGCAUGUC